rnacentral:rRNA from 1 species
UACGAAGGGUGCUAGCGUUGUUCGGAAUCACUGGGCGUAAAGCGCGCGUAGGCGGCUUAGCAAGUCAGAGGUGAAAUGCCAGGGCUCAACCCUGGAACUGCCUUUGAAACUGCUAGCUAAGAGUGUCGGAGGGGAUAGCGGAAUUGCUAAUGUAGAGGUGAAAUUCGUAGAUAUUAGCAGGAACACCGGUGGCGAAGGCGGCUAUCUGGACGACAACUGACGCUUAGGCGCGAAAGCGCGGGGAGUCAAACAGGA